rnacentral:rRNA from 1 species
UACGAAGGGGGCUAGCGUUGCUCGGAAUCACUGGGCGUAAAGCGCACGUAGGCGGAUUGCUAAGUCAGGGGUGAAAUCCUGGAGCUCAACUCCAGGACUGCCUUUGAUACUGGCGAUCUUGAGUCCGGGAGAGGUGAGUGGAACUGCGAGUGUAGAGGUGAAAUUCGUAGAUAUUCGCAAGAACACCAGUGGCGAAGGCGGCUCACUGGCCCGGUACUGACGCUGAGGUGCGAAAGCGUGGGGAACAAACAGG